AAAAAGAUCCCAUUUGCAUUUGGAAAACGAUAAGGAAAAGAGGGCAGGACACAUUUAAAUGUAAUGAGGUCAGCUUUUAUUUUUUUUAUUCUUCUAGAGAAAUUUCUCAUUUUUUGGGUAAGAAUUCAUCCCCGCUUUAAAGUGAAAACAUUAGAUAACCCAGGAGGCCGGGGUGCGGGAGCUUGUGCUGAAAACCUUCAGAGGUUGUGUCAGCGCGAGUUAAAAAGCAACUCAGCGGGGGGGAGGGAAGAAAGAUACAGACAAAGAGGGAAGAAGAAGGAAGGGGGGUCCGGGUCGAGUCCUCAAAGUGUCGGACUGUUCUACUUAUAAGUCUUUAAAUAGGGUGAUUCACUAGAAUGCCGUGGCUCUCAUCUGUUCCUGCUCCUGUUGAGGCACCCAGGGAAGAACCGGGCGCUGAGCAUCAUUGGAAAGUGGGCUGGGAAGUGAGCAGCAGGGCAGGUCGCGUCUAUACGUAGUUUUUCCAACCCAGAUAAGAUUUAACCACGCCCACUUCUGACUGACGAAAACAUCGAUACAGCGUCAGAGUGUCACUCUGCGUUUUCAUCCCACAAAAUAGUAAUCUGACUGUCGCUGCAUAGCGCGUUCUUAAGAAGAUUGGUGAAAAAGAGACUUUAAAUAAAUGUAUUACGUCAACAGAUUUGACGUAACUGUAUUAGGUUAGUUGAAAGAAAUAAUAUCAAGUUUAAAUAAAAAAGAUUAGGUUCAACUUAAUGUUAUUGCUUUCAAGUAACCGUUAUGUGAGAUUUUCCUGUGUAGCUGAGUACAUUUAAAUAUAUAUUUAAAUAUAAAUUCAACAUGGAUUGAAGAAUAAUGAGCUAGCAAACAAUAUGUAGCCUAUAAGCUCAUUUUACUAUUUGUCACGUUUGUACUCACUAAAAUACAGUAUUUGAGUAUAUGUACUUACAUUCCAACACUGUCAGAGUAUAUAAAAUAUUGUUGUAAUGUUUUUCAGCAUGGCUUGCACUGACUGCAAUGGGAGUUGCUACAGAGGCUAACAAAGGUGCGUCUCCAGGGCUUCAGCCGCUCACGCCCCAGUGAAGAAGUCUCCAAGCGGCAGGAAAUGAGGAGGAGGGACCACGGGAGGGGUAUUUAGCUAAUUAUUUGUAUUUGAUAAAUAGCCCAUAUUGUUUUUUUUUCCAAAGCUAAAGUAGACGUCGGCCUCCUCUUUUGACAUGCCGAUGCGGAAGUGGGCGUGAUUAAAGCACAGCUGGAUAGACACAGGCAGGUCAUGUCAUCAUCACUGGACUCAGACUUACCAAAUAGGCCCACAGGGAUCAAUAAAGUUUCCUCGUUAGUGAAUCAUUGUCCUGCAGAGCCACCGUAUGGGAAUAUAGAAAUAAGGACACAUCUUAA